AUAUUCUGCCCUAUGAGGAUUUAAAUGGCUGCAGUAUUUUAACUGUACAAAGGUAGCAUAAUAAUUAGUUUUUUAAUUGAGGACUGGAAUGAAAGAAUUAAUGAGAAAUUAAUUUUAUUAAUUUUAAUUUUUUAAUUUUAUUUUUAGGUAAAAAAGCUUAAUUACUUUUUUGGGACGAAAAGACCCUAUAGAACUUUAUUUAAUAGUUUUAAGUUAAAUUUUAAUAUUUUAUUAAUUUAUAUAUUUAAAUUUUGUUGGGGUGACAAAUAAAUUUAAACUUUAUUUAUUUAAUACAUUAAUUUAUGUUUUUAUUGACUUAUAUACUUUGUAUUUAAAGAAAAAGUUACCUUAGGGAUAACAGCGUAAUUUUUAUGGGGAGUUCAUAUCUAUAUAAAAGUUUGCGACCUCGAUGUUGAAUUAAGAUAAAUAAUAAAAGAAGUAUUUUUUAUAUUAAGUC
rnacentral:rRNA from 1 species